UCUUUCUUCUUUUUCUCUUUUUUUCUUCUUCUCUCCUUUCUCUUCUUCCGGUCGCACAUCACCCAGCCCAAACCUCUCCUCUCCCCUCUUCUUAUCUUCUUCUCCCUUCUUCCUUUCCUUCGGUCGCCCAAACCAGCAGCAACCUUUUCCAUUUUCCCCUUCACCUUGCCACUCAUCCAUGCACCAGUGGGCUACCAAGAGAGUUUCUGAAUAGAGAUUAGCCGGAAUGGAGAGAGAACAUUGAAAAACACAAGGCUGAGAGAGAGAGAGAGAGAGAGAGAGAGAGAGAGAGAGAGAGAGAGACCGAAAUGCUUGAAAUUUUAGGGGUCAUGUCAUAAUUGGAGACUUUAAUGGGUUUUUCAAUGUUGAGUUCGAGUUGGAGUCCAAUGCAGCCAAGAAUUCAAAGUUGCUCAUGCCAAGUGAAGAAUCGGCUAAGGCAAAUCGAUCGAUCGAAUCAUCAGUCGAAGAAAAAUUAAUCGUGCGAAAUGCAAUCGAUCGAGACAGGGCAACCACGAAUGUGAUCGAACGAAAUGCGAUCGAUCGACUUUAUAAUCGAUCGAUCGAAUUUGGAUAUUUUCGGAACAAUCUGAAACAAUGUUGACAUGUACCUCUUCCUUGAUAUUUUAAAUAUCUUAGAUAUUUGUUAGA